UGCCGCUAAAGAGAGGUUCCUGGC
rnacentral:siRNA from 1 species